rnacentral:rRNA from 1 species
GAUCAUGGCUCAGGACGAACGCUGGCGGCGUGCUUAACACAUGCAAGUCGAACGGAGUGUAGCAAUACACUUAGUGGCGGACGGGUGAGUAACACGUGAGCAACCUGCCCUAUACAACGGGAUAACACAGAGAAAUUUGUGCUAAUACGGUAUAAGACCACACUGCGGCAUCGCAGAGGGGUAAAAGCUGAGGCGGUAUAGGAGGGGCUCGCGGCCCAUUAGAUAGUUGGUGAGGUAACGG